UGGGCGAUGAAAACCCCUAUUGCAUGGCGAAGAUUCGAGAUACCUUUACCUUCGAAAGCUCGAAAAGAAUAAUAAAGUAGUCGAGUAAAUUAUGUUACUGCACGUGGUGAAAGCAAUCUCGCAAGGGGAAAGACGGGAUACAGUAAAGCCGUGAUAUAAGCGAAUAUCUCGAGUUUCAACGUUUGCUUAUACUGUGUUAUUCCUACAUAGAUCUACGAGGUGUGACAUUUAAUUAACGAGACUGCACACAUUCUACCGCGCAACAGCUUUGGAUGUUGUCAUUUGUCGCCGCUGCAGUGCUGCAAUCGUUGUUGACAUAAAAGCCGAGCAGCGAAACAAACCAGACCUGUUCACAAAAACAUGUGAUGAAGCUUGGAUUUUCUAGUACAACCUGGAAAUAAAGCGUCAAUCGAUGUACUGGAAGACCCCGGAUCGUCGAAAACGAAAAAAGUGCGAAUGAAAAUAGUACAAAGAAGUCCUAAUCAAGCUGAGGGAAAGAGUAAGGAAGAAAAGACGGAUCUAUUGAAGGCUCAUGGAUUCUGAACCAGACAAGGCACCAACUCACAAUGGACUACCUGUGAAGCAGUUUUUAGCGAACAAGCGCAUUUCUGUGCUUGAUCGUACUCGCCAGAUCUCGCACCGUGUGACUUCUACUUGUUCCCAAAAGUCGGAAGUACAUUGAAAAGAACAUUUUCAAUCUACUGAACAUAUAAAAACAAAACCGGUAGAAUUGUUGAAGCAGUUGAAAACUGAUGAACUACAGCACUGUUUUGAACAAUGGAAAACAUGUAUGCAGCGGUUUACAGCACUGUGAACGUGAAGAAGAAAAUACAA